rnacentral:rRNA from 1 species
AUUGAACGCUGGCGGCAGUCCUAACCCAUGCAAGUCGAGCGCGUGGCGGACGGGUGAGUAAUGUCUGGGAAAUUGCCUUACGUAGGGGAAUAAAUACUGGAAACGGUACCUAAUACCGCCUACCAUUAGAUGUUCCCAUAUGUGAUUAGCUUUUUGUUGGGUUAACGGGUCACAAAGGCGACGAUCCCUAUCUUGUCUGAGAGGAUGACCGGCCACACUGGAACGGAGACACGGUCCAGACUCCUACGGGAGGCAGCAGUGGGGAAUAUUGCACAAUGGGCGCAAGCCUGAUGGAGCCAUGCCGCGUGUAGGAAGAAGGCCGUCGGGUUGUAAAGUACUUGCAGCGGGGAGGCGUUACCCGCAGAAGAAGCACCGGCUAACUCCGUGCCAGCCGCCGCGGUAAUUC